UGGGGAAUUUUGGACAAUGGGGGAAACCCUGAUCCAGCCAUCCCGCGUGUGCGAUGAAGGCCUUCGGGUUGUAAAGCACUUUUGGCAGGAAAGAAACGUCGCGGGUUAAUACCCCGCGAAACUGACGGUACCUGCAGAAUAAGCACCGGCUAACUACGUGCCAGCAGCCGCGGUAAUACGUAGGGUGCAAGCGUUAAUCGGAAUUACUGGGCGUAAAGCGUGCGCAGGCGGUUCGGAAAGAAAGAUGUGAAAUCCCAGAGCUUAACUUUGGAACUGCAUUUUUAACUACCGGGCUAGAGUGUGUCAGAGGGAGGUGGAAUUCCGCGUGUAGCAGUGAAAUGCGUAGAUAUGCGGAGGAACACCGAUGGCGAAGGCAGCCUCCUGGGAUAACACUGACGCUCAUGCACGAAAGCGUGGGGAGCAAACAGGAUUAGAUACCCUGGUAGUCCACGCCCUAAACGAUGUCAACUAGCUGUUGGGGGCCUUCGGGCCUUGGUAGCGCAGCUAACGCGUGAAGUUGACCGCCUGGGGAGUACGGUCGCAAGAUUAAAACUCAAAUGAAUUGACAGGGUCAUAGCUGUUUCCU
rnacentral:rRNA from 1 species